UACGUAGGGGUGCGAGCGUUUGUCCGGAAUUAUUGGGCGUAAAGAGCUCGUAGGCGGUCUGUCGCGUCUGCUGUGAAAUCCCGAGGCUCAACCUCGGGCCUGCAGUGGGUACGGGCAGACUAGAGUGCGGUAGGGGAGAUUGGAAUUCCUGGUGUAGCGGUGGAAUGCGCAGAUAUCAGGAGGAACACCGAUGGCGAAGGCAGGUCUCUGGGCCGCAACUGACGCUGAGGAGCGAAAAGCGUGGGGGAGCGAACAGG
rnacentral:rRNA from 1 species